rnacentral:lncRNA from 1 species
ACGUUUCACCAGUGCAGUAAGGAAGGCUCAUAAAGUCAAACCAGGAUUUCAACCGAGGAAGCCACAAUCUUGCAUUGCAAUGUUUAUUAAUGGCAUUUUUUAUUGCAAGAGAGAAGUUUGUCUUUACAGCUGAAGGAAUCAACUGCUGUACUCUAUAGUGAUGACUUCAGGAGAAAAACAGCUUCACCAGCCAAGCUAGGAACUCUAGAGAUCCCACAGACUUUUUCCACAGAUGUGUGUCAAAAUCACCACUUCUGUUGGGGAAUGAGGAUUGAAAGUUUCUAUCCACCAUCUUACCGAGGACAUUGUCCUUCAGUAUUUGUUUAAAGGACACAAUUCAUCCCUCUACAGUCAAAGGGUACUAUCCUUUUUAUAUAUUGCUGGAUUUGAUUUUCAGUUAUUUUGUAGAGAAUUUUUAUGUCUAAGUUCAUGAGAGAUAUUGUCUGUCAUUUUCUUGUAAUGUCUUUUUCUGAUUUGGGGAUUGGGAUUAUUUUAGCUUCAUAAAAUGAGUAGAGAAGUGUUACCUCCUCUUCUGCAUUGUGUAAGAUAUCAUAUUUAAUUGGUAUUAUUUCUUCCUUAAAAAUUUGCUAGGGCAGGGUGUGGUGGCUCAUGCCUGUAAUCCCAGCACUUUGGGAGGCCAAGGUGAGUGAAUCAUGAGGUCAGGAGUUCAAGACCAGCCUGACCUACAUAAUGAAACCUUGUCUCUACUAAAAGUACAAAAAUUAACUGGGCAUGGUGGCACAUGCCCGUAAUCCCCACUACUCAGGAGGCUGAGGCAGGAGAAUUGCCUGAACCUGGGAGGUGAAGGUUGCAGAGAGCCAAGAUAGUGCCACUGCACUCCAGCCUGGGUGACAGAGUGAGACUUUGUCUCAAAAAAAAAAAAAAAUUUGCUAGGUUUUACAUGUGUAGCCACCUGGGCUUGAUAUUUUCUUUUCUUUUCUUCUUUUUAGUUUUAGGGGGACUGAGAUUUUCUGGU